rnacentral:rRNA from 1 species
UACGUAGGGUGCGAGCGUUUGUCCGGAAGUUAUUGGGCGUAAAGAGCUCGUAGGCGGUUUGGUCGCGUUCUGCUGUGAAAGUCCGAGGCUCAACCUCGGAUCUGCAGUGGGUACGGGCAGACUAGAGUGUGGUAGGGGAGACUGGAAUUCCUGGUGAUAGCGGUGGAAUGCGCAGAUAUCAGGAGGAACACCGGUGGCGAAGGCGG